UCUUUUCAUUGUGUGCCAGCAGCCGCGGUAAUACGUAUGGUGCAAGCGUUAUCCGGAUUUACUGGGUGUAAAGGGAGCGCAGGCGGUGCGGCAAGUCUGAUGUGAAAGCCCGGGGCUCAACCCCGGUACUGCAUUGGAAACUGUCGUACUAGAGUGUCGGAGGGGUAAGCGGAAUUCCUAGUGUAGCGGUGAAAUGCGUAGAUAUUAGGAGGAACACCAGUGGCGAAGGCGGCUUACUGGACGAUAACUGACGCUGAGGCUCGAAAGCGUGGGGAGCAAACAGG
rnacentral:rRNA from 1 species